AUUGAACGCUGGCGGCAGGCCUAACACAUGCAAGUCGAACGAGUGGCGGACGGGUGAGUAAUGUCUGGGAAACUGCCCGAUGGAGGGGGAUAACUACUGGAAACGGUAGCUAAUACCGCAUACCAUCGGAUGUGCCCCGAUGGGAUUAGCUAGUAGGUGGGGUAAUGGCUCACCUAGGCGACGAUUCCUAGCUGGUCUGAGAGGAUGACCAGCCACACUGGAAAUAAGACAUGGGCCAGACUCCUACGGGAGGCAGCAGUGGGAAAUAUUGCACAAUGGGCGCAAGCCUGAUGCAGCCAUGACGCGUGUAUGAAGAAGGCCUUCGGGUUGUAAAGUACUUUCAGCGAGGAGGCGUUACUCGCAGAAGAAGCACCGGCUAACUCCGUGCCAGCAGCCGCGGUAAUAC
rnacentral:rRNA from 1 species